CACCAACUGAAUAGGAAUUAUUUAUAAAAUUUCAUGCUAACAAUAGUAAACAUGAACAACAGUGUCACUCUUUAGUGUAAAAUUGUUGUAAACAACAGAACAAAAAUUAAAUAUUUUAAGGAGCUGGCAGGCACAUUGGUGCUCACGACAGCAAGUCUUGGACCCCUAUCUACCUCCAAAGGAACGUCUCACCAAAGGAUGACGUUUUACAGCCUCUUCAAAAAAAAAAAAAAAAAAAAGAUCAAUACUUGGUGAAAACCCAGCGAGAAUCAAUCACAGGACUAAAUAUCGCGAUAUAUGGCAAUAUCGAUAUUUUGGUACACCCCUCCUGGAAAUCAGUUGAAUUUUGAACAAUCAGGGAUUCCGAUUGUAGUGCUUAUCGUCCCGUUCAAAAUGCAGAAGUGCUAAAAAUUCAAAAAUUGAUCAAGAUUGAGAAAUUAAUACUUAUGCCUGGCUAGAAUUAUAUAAGGAGUUCCAUAAGUCUCCAUACGCAAAUAUUCAAAGAUAAUAAAGGAAACAUUCAGUUCAAAUUGUUGUCUCGUUGCAUUAAAAGUAAAGCAAAGUGCUGGUGAAGUUCUGCCAACAUGGCCGGGGUCUUCCCAUGUGCUCACACUCGCACCUAAUUUUCUCAAUCAGAAGUUUGUUUCCAGACGGAGCACACAUGAGGAAAGACGGAGCAGGAGGAAAACAUCAUUAGACAGCAGUGUGUCAGGAGCAUUGACAGCUGCUGGACUGCAUUUGGUCUGCUUCCGCCUCGAGGUGCCUUUCAGGCCGUGUGAUGGUUUUUAUCACAUGGCACGAGACCACUGGAGCAUGCAUGUGAGGAGGUGAACUUGUGUUGUUGUUGUCAAACAUGUCUGUAUUUUUCUUUCCUCUCUUUUUUAAACCUGCCGCUAAUCCCUUUUUUUUCUCCUCCUGUCAAGGAUUUUUGUUCACGUGUCAACGAAGCAAAACCGCCUCCCUGAUGACACACACUGUUUUUGCAGCUGAGUAUGAAAGAGGGAGAAAGCAAACACAAAUGAAGUGUGGUAAUGUGCGGCAGCGUCAAACAGCAAAUGCGGCUGCAUGUUGCAUUCAAGUGCAAUCAUGGAAAUAUUAUAAAGAUGACAAUGUGUAAACCACAGCACAGGUGCUUUAACUGGAGGCACGCUAUCGUUAAAAUUAAGUUAAAUCUGAAUUUUACUGACUGUCUUUGACCAAAGUUUGUUGUAUUAAAAGCAUUAGAUUUUUAAUAAAAAAAAAACAAUUUAGCAUUUAAGAUUAAAAGAAGCAGGCAGUCAUUUUCUCUUAAGAUUUUCCUUUAAAAUCUAAAAAUAUAUUUUUUAUGUGUAUUGUUUUCCUCAUUUUAUUAUAAAACCGUAUUUAUGGGCUGUGGUAUCUGUGGAUUGAUGCUUUUUUUUUUUUUUUUUACUUCACAUUUUCCAUGUGGUUAAUAUGACGGCUCUAACGAUCUAGAAUGUAAUGGGAUGUAAUUGCCAGCUCUAACUGUGCCUCUAUCGCAAGCUUUUAUUGUUCUUUAUUGGACACCAUUCACACUCUGAUAGUGCACUUUGCUAAAUUAGGCUUGAUGCAGAUCUUUGUUAAUGAGCUAUAUGCGCGCACUGUGUGUUUGGGCUCGUCUCGGAACAGCUAUUAAACACAACGCUCACUGGUUUACCGAGCUAUCCUUGAAGCGUUAAUGUCUGACCAGUUUAUUUAAAUCUGUGUCGUGUUUGAAAGAAACGUGCUUCUCUGUUUACCAGCUGUCCCACAUUUUUGUUUUCACAACUGCUCUGAUUGGAAAAAAAAGAGCACAUUCUACCCAAGAUGCAUCACGAUCUGCCCUCUGUGUGACCCCGUCCUCCAUGAUGUGAGUGUCUGGCUAACGGCGCGAUCCCGCAUCAUCCGUUUUUUGCCCAAUCAGAAUCCUCGUCGGACGCUGAGCGGCUGGCGCUGGGAUUGAGCUUCGGAGACGCGACUGGGAUAGCGUCACAAAACAUAGCGAAAAA